rnacentral:rRNA from 1 species
CCUACGGGAGGCAGCAGUGAGGAAUAUUGGUCAAUGGCCGGAAGGCUGAACCAGCCAAGCCGCGUGAAGGACGAAGGUGCCAAGCAUUGUAAACUUCUUUUGUCAAGGGACAAAAUCAGGCUCGAGAGCCUGACCGAGGGUACUUGAAGAAAAAGCAUCGGCUAACUCCGUGCCAGCAGCCGCGGUAAUAGGGAGGAUGCGAGAGUUAUCCGGAUUUCUUGGGUUUAAGGGGUGCGUAGGCGGACUGUUAAGUCAGCGGUAAAAGCCCGGGGCUCAACCCCGGCGAGCCGUUGAAACUGGCUGUCUUGAGAUGUCGAGAGGUAUGCGGAAUGCGCAGUGUAGCGGUGAAAUGCUUAGAUAUUGCGCAGAACUCCGAUUGCGAAGGCAGCAUACCGGCGGCGAUCUGACGCUGAGGCACGAAAGCGUGGGUAUCGAACAGGAUUAGAUACCCUGGUAGUC